GGGGAAUAUUGGACAAUGGGGGAAACCCUGAUCCAGCAAUGCCGCGUGAGUGAAGAAGGCCUUAGGGUUGUAAAGCUCUUUCGCCCGUGACGAUGAUGACGGUAACGGGAGAAGAAGCCCCGGCUAAUUCCGUGCCAGCAGCCGCGGUAAUACGGAAGGGGCUAGCGUUGUUCGGAUUUACUGGGCGUAAAGCGCAUGUAGGCGGCGGAUCAAGUGGGGCGUGAAAGGCCUGGGCUCAACCUGGGAACUGCGCUUCAGACUGGUUCGCUCGAGUUCGGGAGAGGGUGGUGGAAUUCCCAGUGUAGAGGUGAAAUUCGUAGAUAUUGGGAGGAACACCGGUGGCGAAGGCGGCCACCUGGCCCGAGACUGACGCUCAAGUGCGAAAGCGUGGGGAGCAAAC
rnacentral:rRNA from 1 species